rnacentral:rRNA from 1 species
AUACGUAGGGGGCGAGCGUUGUCCGGAAUUACUGGGCGUAAAGGGUGCGUAGGCGGCCCUUUAAGUCGGAUGUGAAAGCCCGCGGCUUAACCGCGGAAUGGCAUUCGAAACUGGAGGGCUUGAGUGUCGGAGAGGGUAGUGGAUUUCCCAGUGUAGCGGUGAAAUGCGUAGAUAUUGGGAGGAACACCAGUGGCGAAGGCGACUACCUGGACGAUAACUGACGCUGAGGCACGAAAGCUAGGGGAGCAAACAGGAUUAGAUACCCUGGUAGUCCUAGCCGUAAACGAUGGGUACUAGGUGUGGGUGGUUUCGAUACCAUCCGUGCCGUAGUUAACGCAUUAAGUACCCCGCCUGGGGAGUACGAUCGCAAGGUUGGA